rnacentral:rRNA from 1 species
UAGGGAAUCUUCCGCAAUGGGCGAAAGCCUGACGGAGCAACGCCGCGUGAGUGAUGAAGGUCUUCGGAUCGUAAAACUCUGUUAUUAGGGAAGAACAAAUGUGUAAGUAACUAUGCACGUCUUGACGGUACCUAAUCAGAAAGCCACGGCUAACUACGUGCCAGCAGCCGCGGUAAUACGUAGGUGGCAAGCGUUAUCCGGAAUUAUUGGGCGUAAAGCGCGCGUAGGCGGUUUUUUAAGUCUGAUGUGAAAGCCCACGGCUCAACCGUGGAGGGUCAUUGGAAACUGGAAAACUUGAGUGCAGAAGAGGAAAGUGGAAUUCCAUGUGUAGCGGUGAAAUGCGCGGAGAUAUGGGGGAACACCAGUGGCGAAGGCGACUUUCUGGUCUGUAACUGACGCUGAUGUGCGAAAGCGUGGGGAUCAAACAGG